rnacentral:rRNA from 1 species
CCUACGGGAGGCAGCAGUAAGGAAUAUUGGUCAAUGGAGGCAACUCUGAACCAGCCAUGCCGCGUGCAGGAAGAAGGCCCUAUGGGUCGUAAACUGCUUUUGUACCAGAGAAAACCCGAGUACGUGUACUCGGUUGAUAGUAUGGUAAGAAUAAGCAUCGGCUAACUUCGUGCCAGCAGCCGCGGUAAGACGAAGGAUGCAAGCGUUAUCCGGAUUCAUUGGGUUUAAAGGGUGCGUAGGCGGACUGAUAAGUCAGUGGUGAAAUCUCUCGGCUUAACCGAGAAACUGCCAUUGAUACUGUUAGUCUAGAGUAUAGAUGACGUUGGCGGAAUAUGACAUGUAGUGGUGAAAUACUUAGAUAUGUCAUAGAACACCGAUUGCGAAGGCAGCUAACGAAACUAUAACUGACGCUGAGGCACGAAAGUGCGGGGAUCAAACAGAUAGAUACCUCGUAGUCGCACUAACGANNUAUNUGUGUGANAUNCGCNNCGCGACGACGAGAGA